UACGGAGGGUGCAAGCGUUAUCCGGAUUCACUGGGUUUAAAGGGUGCGUAGGUGGGUUGAUAAGUCAGUGGUGAAAUCCCGAGCUUAACUUGGGAACUGCCAUUGAUACUAUUGAUCUUGAAUACCGUGGAGGUCAGCGGAAUAUGUCAUGUAGCGGUGAAAUGCUAGAUAUGACAUAGAACACCAAUGCGAAGGCAGCUGGCUACGCGAAUAUUGACACUGAUGCACGAAAGCGUGGGGAUCAAACAGGAGUUAGA
rnacentral:rRNA from 1 species